rnacentral:lncRNA from 1 species
AGAAAUCUACGCUUCUGCCAAAAAGAUUGCAAAAAGACCGCAUAUAUAUCAUUAGUACGAUCAACUAUGGAAUAUGGUGCCAUAAUAUGGGACCCAUAUACACAACAUGAUAUAAAUCAAUUAGAAAGAAUACAACGCAGAGCAGCUAGAUUCAUUACAGGCGACUAUAGGACUAGAGAAGAGGGGUCAGUCACCAAAAUGCUAGCCGAGUUAGAACUAGACAAUCUACAAACGAGAAGAACAAGUCAACGGCUGGUAUUUCUGUACAAAGUGGUUGAGGGGUUGGUCCCAGCUAUUAAUCCCGACGAUUUUCUUGUAAAAAGUAAACCUAAGAGGAAAAUCAAACCCAAAACAUUUGACAAUUUUGUAAGUGCCAAUAUAGUGACAAAUUCAGUGAAGAACAAUUCUAAGGCACUAGAAACUAUUCCUAGCAACACCGAUCCAUAUAGAAUCUUCUUCGUCAAGAGUAUCCUACACUGGAACCAACUGGAAGACCGUAUUGUAUGCGCAGAUACAGUUGAGAGCUUCAAGGCUGCUCUUCAACACCGCCAAUAGGUGUCUCUCUCUCCCGUUGAGUAAAAGCCAGAAUUGGUAUCUUCAACGUAUACAUACAGAUACAGAUACAGGUGUGACGUCAUUUUUUUUCCUGUUUUAUUUUACCAAUCCACUUUAUAAUGCGUAACCGUGCAUGAUGGACAACUACGGCUAUUAACUCAUCCGAGAACACGUGUUAUUUACUGAAAUACAAGACUUUUUUCAUGCAUUGCGAUAUUAACAAUUUCGCUUAGUUUUUCAUUUUAUGUACCCAUAUUUAUAGUUAGUGAUAUAAAGUAUUCGCCUUUAUAUUCUGAAAAGUUAUACAAAAUACUUUACAGGAAAAACCGAUGGAUUUACAUUGUAGGAAUACAUGUUCCAGUGCUGCAAACGCUCAGAAAAUAAUUCAGCUGAUAUGAGCCCAGAGUCUAUUUGACAAUUUGUACAGGGACUAUAAAAAAAAUCUUGAAAUAGUUCCGACCAAACAUUCAAAACAUAUAUAUGCAUAAUGCCAUAAUUGACAAGCUGCGUACUUAUGCAUGCAUGUUUACAAUACUGACUGCUGUAUCCAC